GGGGAGCAUCCAGAAUCUGAGAUGUUACCUGAUAUAAUCUUCCUACAUUAAAACUCGUUAUAUUUGCUUGUAGUGCUUUAGUAAACUCUGCAAGUAAAAAAUGAGAUACAUGA
rnacentral:snoRNA from 1 species